rnacentral:lncRNA from 1 species
AGAGAGAGAGAGAGGGACAUGAUGUCCUCCGAGAGGAGCUGUGUGUAGUGAAGGUGGAGCUGAAGCAGAGAGAGAGAGGGACAUGAUGUCCUCCAAGAGGAGCUGUGUGUAGUGAAGGUGGAGCUGAAGCAGAGAGAGAGAGGGACAUGAUGCCCUCCGCCAGCAGCUUCUGACCAACAGAGCCGCCCCAUCAGCCUGGUAGAAGCCCAGAUACCCCUGAGCCCAGUGCAGCCUUCACCCCAUCAGCCUGGUAGAAGCCCAGAUACCCCUGAGCCCAGUGCAGCCUUCACCCCCAUCAGCCUGGUAGAAGCCCAGAUACCCCUAGAUCCUGCCCUGACCUGCCAACCUCUCAGCCUGCCUUGACCUGCCAACCUCUCAGCCUGCCCUCACCUGCCAACCUCUCAGCCUGCCCUGACUUUCCAACCUCUCAGCCUGCCUUGACCUGCCAACCUCUCAGCCUGCCCUGACCUGCCAACUUCCCAGCAGUCUGACCAUGUUCAGCCGAACACACCUCCAGAGGACAGGGGACAGGAUCCAGUUCAACCCAGGAGACCUCCCAAAACUGCAGUUCUGAUAGACUGUAAUGGGAAGUAUCUGGAAGAUAAGAGACUGUUCCCCAGACACCAGACAGCUAAAUGUGGGUAUCCCACUACUGACAGUGCACUACAGCUGCUCUAUCAGGUCAAGCUGGAAAAUCCUGAUAACCUCAUCAUACAUACUGGGACAAAUGACCUGCACACAAAAGGAGAAAGAGUGGCUGAGGAAGCACACAGCCUGUUCCCAAUGACAAACAUUAGUAUAUCCACCUUUCUAGAAAGAUCUCAAAGUUUCUUAGAUUUUUACCAGACCUCAGAAGUCGUCCCCCGAUGCGGUUUAAGCAUUGUUGUGAGCACAGAAAAUCUAAUUUUGUUGUUUUUCUAUUAAAAAAAAACUGUUGAAAAAAAACUGUAAAGAAAACCAUUAAAAAUAAAUAAAAAUGAAUUAGCAGAAAAUAUAAGCAGAUUUAAAAUGGCCCUACCAAUGUUUCUUGCUGUGCAUGACUCCACAUUAGCAUGUCAUCCUGUAGCACAGUAUUUUGUUUGGACCAUCCUAGAAAUGUCAUAUUUGACAUUGGUGGUUAUGUCAGUUAUGCCACAUUUAUGAACCCUUUAUAGAGCAUUACAUACAGUUAUAGAUGACUUGUGACACAUUUAUGUGUUUUGAAGGCU